rnacentral:lncRNA from 1 species
AUUUUUACUUCAUCCGAAUUUUAGAUAAUGAUGUAUUUGAAAUUUUCGGUAACAAACAUUAGAUUGCAAAAUUCAAAUUAGCAGCAGUAGACUAAAUUUGAUUAGAACUUCUAAGAGUGACCACGGUUUACCCUCUAUGGGCGUCAAUUGGAAAUGAAAAUAAUGUCAACGAAAGCAACACUUUAUUGUUAUUAAAAAUCACAGUACGAUCUCCAACG